rnacentral:rRNA from 1 species
AUUGAACGCUGGCGGCAGGCCUAACACAUGCAAGUCGAACGAGUGGCGGACGGGUGAGUAAUGUUUGGGAAUCUGCCUUAUGGAGGGGGAUAACUACGGGAAACGGUAGCUAAUACCGCAUACCAUAGGAUGAGCCCAAGUGGGAUUAGCUAGUUGGUGAGGUAAAGGCUCACCAAGUCGACGAUCCCUAGCUGGUCUGAGAGGAUGACCGGCCACACUGGAACUGAGACACGGCCCAGACUCCUACGGGAGGCAGCAGUGGGGAAUAUUGCGCAAUGGGAGCAAGCCUGACGCAGCCAUGCCGCGUGAAUGAAGAAGGCCUUCGGGUUGUAAAGUUCUUUCAGUAGCGAGGCGUUAACUACAGAAGAAGCACCGGCUAACUCCGUGCCAGCCGCCGCGGUAAUAC